rnacentral:rRNA from 1 species
UACGAAGGGGGCUAGCGUUGUCCGGAAUCAUUGGGCGUAAAGCGCGUGUAGGCGGUCCGGUAAGUCCGCUGUGAAAGUCGGGGGCUCAACCCUCGGAUGCCGGUGGAUACUGUCGGGCUUGAGUACGGAAGAGGCGAGUGGAAUUCCUGGUGUAGCGGUGAAAUGCGCAGAUAUCAGGAGGAACACCAAUUGCGAAGGCAGCUCGCUGGGACGUUACUGACGCUGAGAAGCGAAAGCAUGGGGAGCGAACAGG